GACGAACGCUGGCGGCGUGCCUAAUACAUGCAAGUCGAACGCAGUGGGGACGGGUGAUUAACACGGGGGUAACCUCCCAUCAGAGGGGAUAACCCUUGGAAACAGGUGCUAAACCGAUCCUGAUGGCUGGAGCCGCGGUGCAUUAGCUAGUUGGUGAGGUAACGGCUCACCAAGGCCACGAUGCAUAGCCGACCUGACAGUGGGAUCGGCAACACUGGGACUGAGACACGGCCCAGACUCCUACGAGAGGCAGCAGUAGGGAAUCGAAGGCAAUGGACUAAAGCCUGACCGAGCAACGCCGCGUAAGUGAAGAAGGUUUUCGGAGCGUAAAACUCUGGUGUUAGAGAAGCGCUAUCUAACGAGAAAGCCACGGCUAACUACGUGCCAGCAGCCGCGGUAAUUC
rnacentral:rRNA from 1 species